rnacentral:RNase_P_RNA from 1 species
ACGGCGGACGGGACGGUCGCACGAAUGAGAAAUUGAAGUAACGAGUUUUGCUGAUAAAUUUUAAUUUCGUGAGGAAAGUCCGGGCUUCGCAGGACACGAUGGUGGGUAACGCCCACCGGCAGGCAUAGGACGUUUGACGUUUUAUGUUGGCUAGGGAAAGUGCAACAGAAAGCAAACCGCCUACGUUUCAGGGAGGGCGAAACUUCGUCUUCGCUGAAACCGGCAAGGGUGAAACGGUGAGGUAAGAGCUUACCAGCGAAUCGGGCGACUGAUUCGGCUAUGUAAACCCCAUCGGAAGCAAGGUCAAACAGAAACGAACCGCAAUGACGAAAACGUCAACGCGAACGAAUUUGUUCGGUUCGGUAGAGUUUCGGGUAGAUCGCUGGAACGGCGGAGCAAUUCGCCGUCAAGAGGAAUGACCGUCGCCGAGCUGAUAAAAAUGCGGUAUUUGCCGUAUUUUUUACUGUUCGGAACAAAACCCGGCUUACAUGUCCGCCGUUUUU